GAUGAACGCUGGCGGCGUGCCUAAUACAUGCAAGUCGAGCGAACAGAUAAGGAGCUUGCUCCUUUGACGUUAGCGGCGGACGGGUGAGUAACACGUGGAUAACCUACCUAUAAGACUGGGAUAACUUCGGGAAACCGGAGCUAAUACCGGAUAACAUAUUGAACCGCAUGGUUCAAUAGUGAAAGGCGGCUUUGCUGUCACUUAUAGAUGGAUCUGCGCCGUAUUAGCUAGUUGGUAAGGUAACGGCUUACCAAGGCAACGAUACGUAGCCGACCUGAGAGGGUGAUCGGCCACACUGGAACUGAGACACGGUCCAGACUCCUACGGGAGGCAGCAGUAGGGAAUCUUCCGCAAUGGGCGAAAGCCUGACGGAGCAACGCCGCGUGAGUGAUGAAGGUCUUCGGAUCGUAAAACUCUGUUAUCAGGGAAGAACAAAUGUGUAAGUAACUGUGCACAUCUUGACGGUACCUGAUCAGAAAGCCACGGCUAACUACGUG
rnacentral:rRNA from 1 species